rnacentral:rRNA from 1 species
CCUACGGGAGGCAGCAGUGGGGAAUAUUGCACAAUGGGGGAAACACUGAUGCAGCGACGCCGCGUGAGUGAAGAAGUAUUUCGGUAUGUAAAGCUCUAUCAGCAGGGAAGAAAAUGCCGGUACCUGUUUAAGAAGCCCCGUCUAACUACGUACCAGCACCCGCGGUAAUAAGUAGGGAGCAGGCGUUAUCCGGAUUUACUGGGUGUAAUGGGGGCGUAGUCGGCAGUAUAAGUGCGGAGUGAAAUGGCGGGGCUUAACCCCGGAACCGCUGUGGAAACUGGGCAGCUAGAGUGGAGGAGAGGUAAGUGGAAUGCGUGGUGUAGCGGUGAAAUGCGUAGAUA